ensembl:lncRNA
CAAAAAUCACAAAACAGUAAAAGGAAUGGAAAAUGACUUUAUUUCUUCUUCUUAAAAAAAAAAAAAGUAAAAUAAAAGCCCAUAAUUGAAUUAUAUUCUGAAACAUUUGUUUAGUAUUAUUUCCAUGCUUAAUAAAAUCAUUAUAUUUCUGCAUAAAUAAAUAAACAUUUACAAAGAGGGGGAAGAACGAGAAGAAUCAGAGACGAAGGUGUCAUUCUCUGAAUCAUUGACGACCAAUCAAUCGAUCAACAACUGAUCAAAUGGACAAUUCAUUGAUGGCCUGUAGACAUGCAGCCAAUCGUCUUCCUUCCUUCUCCAUACAUGAAAUCCCCCAUUGGGUAUUAUAUCAUAUUAUAUUUAUAUACCGCAUAAUGUAAUUAUCUCUCAGGUUCAGAAAAAUUUAACAAAAUAACAUAGCAGAUGUGUGUGUGUGUGUGUGUUUGUGGAUGCAGCCCAAAUGACAAUCUCUUCCCUACUGUACGUAGUUCACUAAGUAAUGCACUCUGUAGGGGACAGGCUGUCAUUUAGGAUGUAUAUUAUGUGUGUGUUUGUAUGUACAUAGUAAAUCACCAGGCAGCAGUCAGAAGAGUAGUUAUCCCAAAAAAAAUUACAUUUAGAAAAAAAUUCAUGUGCACAGGAAAAUCUUUGAACGAACACACCGACUGGAAAUGAGGGAAGUUAUGUUGUUUGUUUUGUUUUUAACAAAUAAAACAAAUACAUUUCAGGGAUUUAUCCAAAUGUAUCCAAUCAUAACCCCAAAAGCCUCCCCCAUUCCUUUGUGCGUUUCAGAUUGACUGACACGUAUCGGUCUCGUAUGAAAAGGAUCACACACAGAGGCUGCUCACUUACAGAUAGUAUCAAAAAGACCCAUUUCAAUAGGAGUCAAAGUAACAUGGCAUCUUUGGAAAAGUGGAUCAGGCUACACCCUUCAGACCAAUGCAUUUUGAGAAGACAGGAAUCAAGGAAAGACAAUUGAGAUUGGAUAGGUCUGUUUAGGUUAGGGGUACCGGUUCUUGUAGCAGGUUAGGUUAGGGGUACCGGUUCUUGUAGCAGGUUAGGUUAGGGGUACCGGUUCUUGUAGCAGGUUAGGUUAGGGGUACCAGUUCUUGUAGCAGGUUAGGUUAAGAGUGCCUUUUCAACACGGACACUUGAGCGAGUUGACAGGGUAGAUCAGAUCAUGCUUUUAACUAGCCUGGAAUCCAAGCUAAUAUGCUUACAGUCUUGUUUCACCAGUCUAGCUUUUAAGGUGUAGCGAGGACAACAAGACAUCAUGACCAUGUAUUCAUUGAGGAGAGAAGACUCUCCACGCUGUCACUCUCUCUGCCCUUCCACCACUUUGAAACCAGCUCAAAUUUACACAAAACACCUCCAUUUACAGGCAGGACUUAUUUUAUUAAUUGUUUUUCUGCAUGGAAUCCCAAAAAUAAUAAGUAAAGACAAACUGGAGAACACAAGAUGUGAUCAAUUCAGGAGAAAGGAGAGAAAAAAAUGUUUUGGGAGAUUUCACUUUUUUUUUUAUUUUUAUGGCAAACAAAAAGUUGUAUUCCAAAUGGCACCAGUUUCCCUAUAUAGUGCACUACUUUUGACCAGAGCCCUGUUCCCUAUAUAGUGCACUACUUUAGACCAGAGCCCUAUGGCUUAGGGUUGGUCCUAGAACUGCUACCCAGAGCUCCAUGCCCACCAGAUUCAGGGACUGUAUGAAUCCGGGGAGUCCAGAGAAGGGCAUCUGUUUUGGGCCACAAAGAUUGAGGAUAGCCCUUAACUUCCAAACCACCACUCAACAACCCCCCUUACAUAGGUGCUGCUAUAGCAAGGCUAUCCUUUAGACAAAGACACAUUUCAGAAAGACUACAGGCCUCAUCUUUCAUAAGGAUUAUAUAUCACCCUUAGCCAGCCGAUUGGCUAUCGAUGCAUAUAUAUUCCAAUCCAAGACAGUUUUAAAGUUUCCAGGAUUGAUGGACACUGUGGAGUGGGGACAUGCCCACUCACAGCAGAAGCAGUGAAGGCCAAUGACAGAGCCCAGAGAAACAGGAAGUUAGAUGGGGAUUCUAAAGCCGUAUCUAAAGGAGAACGAAGAAGAGACAGCACCUUGGGGGUAAUUCUAGAGCUGGGUCUACCUGACAGUAUACAAGGAGGGGGAUAUUUUAUAACUAUAAUCUACCCGGCACUGGAUGAGACCAGAGGAAGAAUCUAGAGCUGUACGUACUAGACAGGCAUUGGAGAGACCAGAGGAAGAAUCUAGAGCUGUACAUACUAGACAGGCAUUGAGAGACCAGAGGAAGAAUCUAGAGCUGUACAUACUAGACAGGCAUUGGAGAGACCAGAGGAAGAGAGUAACAGAGUUUCAUAAAAGGUGUUAUGUUAAUAUACAUCAUUAUCAUUUAGGUUUAUGACAUCUAAGCAGGUGUCUGGAGAGGUUGGACUUGCGAGCAAAGCUGAGAAAGCAGUACAUACUAGACAGGCAUUGGAGACCAGAGGAAGAAUCUAGAGCUGUAUGUACAUCAGGUAGCAUAGUCAUCAUAGACUUCAGCGCCAAGAUAUUAGCCUGGUCCCAGGUCUGUUUGUGCUUUUGCCUACUCUACUGUCAGCAUUUAGCAUGACAAUUACAUAAGAAGUUGGCAAGAGAGCACAGACCUGCUACCAAGAUCCAGGAAACAGACCUGCUACCAAGAUCCAGGAAACAGACCUGCUACCAAGAUCCAGGAAACAGACCUGCUACCAAGAUCCAGGAAACAGACCUGCUACCAAGAUCCAGGAAACAGACCUGCUACCAAGAUCCAGGAAACAGACCUGCUACCAAGAUCCAGGAAACAGAGCGAAAACAGCCCUGGGUGAGCAACACAUGAGCAGGAAAACACACCAAUGCGUUUUAUACAAGGGAAUUACGACAGUGGAAAUUGUGGCCAUUUGUCCAAAAGAUGUUAACCCCACACCUAUUUCACCUGAGCCCCAAUAGUUACACUGACAUCCUUUCAUAAAGCAAUCUGGGAACUAGAGUGUUAUCAAACCAGUAGUGGCUUGUCCAUUUUACACUCCAUGUGUCCCAAAAAGUAUUUAACAAUAAAGUAACCCUUGGCAAUAAGGUUCAGAAUGUGAACCAGUAACAACCUGGACACAGACUGUUCAGAACACCGUGAAACACCGUGAAACACCGUGAAACACCAUUAUGGGAGUUGUCUUACACUCAACAAGACAUCAUCCCUUGACACCAGAAGUUACUUGGACAUCCUUUCAUAUGACAUCUUGAAAUUUGGGAGGAAAAUUGACAGAGCAUUGCUUUAGAACAAUACAUAACGAGUAAUGACAUUAUGAUUAAAAAAAUAUAUAAAAAUAAAAAUUGACAUUAUUACCACCAGAAUUAUCCCAGAAAAAUCUAACAUUGUUCAGUAUGUGUUUCUGCAUGUGUAUGUGUGUGUAACGUGCUACAUGCAUGUGUGUACAUCUGUAUGUACACGUUAUUGCAUGCCUGUGUGUGUGUGUGUGUGUGUGUGUGUGUGUGUGUGUGUGUGUAAGCAUGAAUCCGUCAAAAUUCGAGGGCACAGCAGGAUGAGGAAACUGUUUUUACAAGAUACAGACGCAGUAGAGAGGAGGGGAUAGAAACAUUUUACAUCAGGAAUGUUCCCAAAUGGCAACCUAUUCUCUAAAUACUGUAGGCCCCUACUUUUAACCAGGGCCCUUAGGGCAGUAGUGCACUUUUAACCAGGGCCCUUAGGGCAGUAGUGCACUUGAUAGGGAACAGGGUGCCAUUUCAGAUGCGCUCAACAGUUCUCUAGCUCUCUCCAUGGACAGACAACAAUACAUAAGAAGCAGCCGAGAGUUGGGAGGAUGGUGAGGGUAGAGGGGUGUCCUUAAUGUUUUCUAUGCAGUCUGAUUGAUGGUAGGAUGAUGGUGAGGGUAGAGGGGUGUCCUUAAUGUUUUCUAUCCAGUCUGAUUGAUGGUAGGAUGAUGGUGAGGGUAGAGGGGUGUCCUUAAUGUUUUCUAUCCAGUCUGAUGGUAGAAUGAUGGUGAGGGUAGAGGGGUGUCCUUAAUGUUUUCUAUCCAGUCUGAUGGUAGGAUGAUGGUGAGGGUAGAGGGGUGUCCUUAAUGUUUUCUAUCCAGUCUGAUUGAUGGUAGGAUGAUGGUGAGGGUAGAGGGGUGUCCUUAAUGUUUUCUAUCCAGUCUGAUUGAUGGUAGGAGGAUGGUGAGGGUAGAGGGGUGUCCUUAAUGUUUUCUAUCCAGUCUGAUGGUAGAAUGAUGGUGAGGGUAGAGGGGUGUCCUUAAUGUUUUCUAUCCAGUCUGAUGGUAGGAUGAUGGUGAGGGUAGAGGGGUGUCCUUAAUGUUUUCUAUCCAGUCUGAUGGUAGGAUGAUGGUGAGGGUAGAGGGGUGUCCUUAAUGUUUUCUAUCCAGUCUGAUGGUAGAAUGAUGGUGAGGGUAGAGGGGUGUCCUUAAUGUUUUCUAUCCGGUCUGAUUGAUGGUAGGAUGAUGGUGAGGGUAGAGGAGUGUCCUUAAUGUUUUCUAUCCAGUCUGAUUGAUGGUAGGAUGAUGGUGAGGGUAGAGGGGUGUCCUUAAUGUUUUCUAUCCAGUCUGAUUGAUGGUAGGAUGAUGGUGAGGGUAGAGGGGUGUCCUUAAUGUUUUCUAUGCAGUCUGAUUGAUGGUAGGAUGAUGGUGAGGGUAGAGGGGUGUCCUUAAUGUUUUCUAUCCAGUCUGAUUGAUGGUAGGAGGAUGGUGAGGGUAGAGGGGUGUCCUUAAUGUUUUCUAUCCAGUCUGAUGGUAGAAUGAUGGUGAGGGUAGAGGGGUGUCCUUAAUGUUUUCUAUCCAGUCUGAUGGUAGGAUGAUGGUGAGGGUAGAGGGGUGUCCUUAAUGUUUUCUAUCCAGUCUGAUGGUAGAAUGAUGGUGAGGGUAGAGGGGUGUCCUUAAUGUUUUCUAUCCAGUCUGAUGGUAGAAUGAUGGUGAGGGUAGAGGGGUGUCCUUAAUGUUUUCUAUCCAGUCUGAUUGAUGGUAGGAUGAUGGUGAGGGUAGAGGGGUGUCCUUAAUGUUUUCUAUCCAGUCUGAUUGAUGGUAGGAUGAUGGUGAGGGUAGAGGGGUGUCCUUAAUGUUUUCUAUGCAGUCUGAUUGAUGGUAGGAUGAUGGUGAGGGUAGAGGGGUGUCCUU